UAUUAGGGUACCCUCUAGGAGCUGAGAGUGACCCAUGCAACAGCCAGCAAGAAAGUGGGGAGUCAGUCUUACCCAAGGAACUGAGUUCUAUCAACACCCUGAAUGGGUUUGGAAAUAGAUUCUUCCACAAUCGAGCCUCCUGAUGAGUUCAUAGCCCCCACUGACACCUUGAUUUCAGCCUGUUGAGAUCCUGAUUAGAGAGCCCAGUUAUGUUGUACCCAGACUUCUGACCUACAGCAACUGUAAGGGGGGGUGGGGUUGUGUUAAACCACUAAGUUUGUGAUCAUUGGUUAGGCAGCAAUAGAAAGCUAACAUAGAUGGGCAGCACAACUUUAGACUCUAGAUCUGAUGAUAUUUGUUCUGGGGAGCCCAUGAAAAAGGUUGCUACUGGACCAUGAGUACAGAUCAUCAGAGUUCAAAGGGCAUUGUGGAGAUCCCAUGUUGAACCCCAUUUCAAGUUUCUUCUCUUGUCAGAUCCACUAACAUCCCAUUGGCCAAGCAAAUCUCAUGGUCAAGCCCAAGAUCAAGGGACUGGAAGUCCGUUCCACUCACCCAGAGGCCUGAAAAGUCUAGAUAUCUAUUACCAGGGAGUUAAGAAUUAGGAUCCAUUACUUGGGAAAUUUAGCACACAUGCACAAAAUCCCUCUGGCUGGUUUUACCUCCUCCACGUCCAUCAGUACACAGCUGAGCAUAAGCAGUUACCUCCAUCAUACAUUUGAAGCUCAUGAAGCCUCCCUCACCAGUGCUGCAAAUUGGUCCAUGGAGAGCGGACAUCCAAGAAAGGAAAGUGGGAACUGGGAGAAGUCAGGGUGAGGACCAGGUACCAGUAUGAAAUUUGUGGGUUAUCAGAAACAGUUUUGGGUAAAACUGACAUGAACAGAAGUAUUCCCAGGCAGAAGGGCUUAGGUAUUUCAUAUACAUGAUUUGCUUAUGGUUUUAAGAUGGAAGUCAAACAGCAUGUUCUAAUCCUAACACCACUACUCGAGCAAGUAGUCUCUCUGAGGACUCAGUGUUCACAUCAUCUUAUAAAAAUGGCAUAAACAACGGUACCAACCUCUGAGGCAAUUGUGAGGAUUACACGAGCUCACAGAAUAAAGAAACCAAUUUCACUUU